GAUGAACGCUGGCGGCGUGCCUAAUACAUGCAAGUCGAGCGAACAGACGAGGAGCUUGCUCCUCUGACGUUAGCGGCGGACGGGUGAGUAACACGUGGAUAACCUACCUAUAAGACUGGGAUAACUUCGGGAAACCGGAGCUAAUACCGGAUAAUAUAUUGAACCGCAUGGUUCAAUAGUGAAAGACGGUUUUGCUGUCACUUAUAGAUGGAUCCGCGCCGCAUUAGCUAGUUGGUAAGGUAACGGCUUACCAAGGCAACGAUGCGUAGCCGACCUGAGAGGGUGAUCGGCCACACUGGAACUGAGACACGGACCAGACUCCUACGGGAGGCAGCAGUAGGGAAUCUUCCGCAAUGGGCGAAAGCCUGACGGAGCAACGCCGCGUGAGUGAUGAAGGUCUUCGGAUUGUAAAACUCUGUUAUUAGGGAAGAACAAAUGUGUAAGUAACUAUGCACGUCUUGACGGUACCUAAUCAGAAAGCCACGGCUAACUACGUG
rnacentral:rRNA from 1 species